rnacentral:tRNA from 1 species
GGCUCUGUGGCGCAAUGGAUAGCGCAUUGGACUUCUAGCCGAUCCCGGUGUGGUGAUUCAAAGGUUGUGGGUUCGAGUCCCACCAGAGUCG